GAUGAACGCUGGCGGCGUGCCUAACACAUGCAAGUCGAGCGAACAGACGAGGAGCUUGCUCCUCUGACGUUAGCGGCGGACGGGUGAGUAACACGUGGAUAACCCACCUAUAAGACUGGGAACACCUCGGGAAUCCGGAGCUAAUACCAGAUAAUAUACUGAACCGUAUGGUUCAAUAGUGAAAGACGGCUUUGCUGUCUCUUAUAGCUGGAUCUGGGCCGCAUUAGCUAGUUGGUAAGGUAACGGCUUACCAAGGCAACGAUGCGUAGCCGACCGGAGGGGGGGGUCGGCCACCCGGGAGGUUAGCCGCGGUCCAGGCGCCUGCGGUAGGGAGCAGUAGGGAAUCGGCCGCAAUGGUCGAGAGCAUUACGGAGCAACGCGGCGUGAGAUAUGAAAAUGUUCGGAGCGUGAAGCUCUGUUAUGAGGGGUGAACCAAUGUGUAAGUAACUGUGCACUGCUUGACGGUAACUGGUCAAAAAGCCACGGCUAACUACGUG
rnacentral:rRNA from 1 species